GAUGAACGCUGGCGGCGUGCCUAAUACAUGCAAGUCGAGCGAACAGACGAGGAGCUUGCUCCUCUGACGUUAGCGGCGGACGGGUGAGUAACACGUGGAUAACCUACCUAUAAGACUGGUAUAACUUCGGGAAACCGGAGCUAAUACCGGAUAAUAUAUUGAACCGCAUGGUUCAAUAGUGAAAUACGGUUUUGCUGUCACUUAUAGAUGGAUCCGCGCCGCAUUAGCUAGUUGGUAAGGUAACGGCUUACCAAGGCAACGAUGCGUAGCCGACCUGAGAGGGUGGUAGGCCACCCUGGAACUGAGACACGGUCCAGACUCCUACGGGAGGCAGCAGUAGGGAAUCUUCCGCAAUGGGCGAAAGCCUGACGGAGCAACGCCGCGUGAGUGAUGAAGGUCUUCGGAUCGUAAAACUCUGUUAUUAGGGAAGAACAAAUGUGUAAGUAACUAUGCACGUCUUGACGGUACCUAAUCAGAAAGCCACGGCUAACUACGUG
rnacentral:rRNA from 1 species